GCCUGUUCUUCUCGUUCCACCCUCCUUUGCCCCCUUAAUAGCAGCUCCCCUAUUCUGAGCCCUCCAGAAUUCAGCAGCCCUUGGUGUCCAUCAGGUUAGAGGCAGCCUGACACUCCCGUUCUCAGUGAGCAGCUACUAGCAAUCCUUUCCACGUUAGUCACAUUGCUUUGGUCCCCUUGGUGAAUUGGGUAGGGCUCCUACUGUGCGGUGUGCUUUACAGGGAAGGGAUCUGCCAAGUGGUGGCUGGGUGGAGGGAGCUGGCCUAGGUUUAUUGGUGGUCCCACGGCCAUUGUCUGGCAAGUGGGAGGGACUCUGAAUGGUUAUUAGCUGGGGAAAACCUAGAAUGUGGAAGGUCACAUGGUAAGGAAACACCAGUGAACUAUGCAUAGGGCCACAGGCUCUUUGAGUUUUUAAAAUGCUCUUAUCUAAAAUGGACAUACAAGAGUUCCUGCUGUGGUACCGUGGGUUAAGGAUCAGAUUGCAGUGGCUCGGGUUGCUGCAGAGGUUCAGAUUUGAGCCCUGGCCCAGGAACUUUCAUGUGCCGCAGGUGAGGGCAUAAAAUCUUUAAAAAUUUAAAAAAUUAAAUGAAAUGUAAAUAUAAUAAUAUUUCAUAAUAAUCUCUAAAGGAAGAGAAUCUGAAGCAUGUAUAUGUAUGUAUAUACAUAUAUAUCUGAAUUACUGUGCUGUGUACCUGAAACUAACAUGAUAUUGUAAAUCAACUAUAUUUCAAUUAAAAAUGGAAAAAAAAGGAAAUAUAAUACCACAUAGGGUUGUGUGGGUUAGAUGACAUACUAUGGAUUCACAUGUUUGGUAAAUUUGAAUGUGUUCUAUAAAUGUGAGAAAUUAAUAGAUGUGGUAUUAAUUAUAAUGAUUAGAGGAAGAGCAGAGGGAAGAAAUGUACUUGAAAGGAAGACUCUAGGGAGAUCAGAUGCUCGAUUCAUAAAUUAACGUGUGAUGAUGGAAUUUGAAGGCCUGGAUCAGAGAUGAUUCAGUAGGAACCUUCAGUACAUCCCGCACGUAACACCAGGUAGGCAGCAGCCUCACGUGUUCCUGAGCCCCUUUCUCUAGUUUUGUUUCUCCCUUGCCUAUGACUUCAUAUUAUUUUACCUCUUCAGACUCCAAAUAUCAAGAGUAAACUGCCGUGCAAUAAGUUGAGAGACCAGAAGGCAUCUUUAAUCAUUUACCUCUCUCCUCUUUGUCUCAUUUCCCCCUUGUGCAAAAUAUCGUGCCAUCUGACUUUUUUCUUUCCACCUGUGAAUAUCGAGAAAUAAAGCAAGAUGUUGUUUGCA
rnacentral:lncRNA from 1 species